UACGGAGGGUGCAAGCGUUAUCCGGAUUCACUGGGUUUAAAGGGUGCGUAGGCGGGCAUUUAAGUCAGUGGUGAAAUACCUGAGCUUAACUUGGGAACUGCCAUUGAUACUAUUUGUCUUGAAUACUGUGGAGGUCAGCGGAAUAUGUCAUGUAGCGGUGAAAUGCUUAGAUAUGACAUAGAACACCAAUUGCGAAGGCAGCUGGCUACACAAAUAUUGACACUGAGGCACGAAAGCGUGGGGAUCAAACAGG
rnacentral:rRNA from 1 species